GUGAUCCGGUUGUUCCGCCAGGAGCAUUGCCGGGUAGCUACGUCUGGAACGGAUAACCGCUGAAAGCAUCUAAGCGGGAAGCCGGCUCCAAGAGUGAUCUCCCGGACCAUCAGGUCCCCAAAGGCCGCAGGAAGAUUACCUGUUUGAUAGGCCGGAGGUGGAAGCAUGGCAACAUGUGAAGCUGACCGGUACUAAUUGGCCGGGCGACCUGACUU
rnacentral:rRNA from 1 species